AACCAGCACCUCAAGUGGUCAGGAUGAUUAUUGGGCCUAAAGCAUCCGUAGCCUGCUUUGUAAGUUCUCGGCUAAAUCCAUGCGCUUAACGUAUGGGCUGCCGGCAAUACUGCAUAGCUAGGGAGUGGGAGAGGUAGACGGUACUCGGUAGGAAGGGGUAAAAUCCUUUGAUCUAUUGAUGACCACCUGUGGCGAAGGCGGUCUACCAGAACACAUCCGACGGUGAGGGAUGAAAGCUGGGGGAGCAAACCGG
rnacentral:rRNA from 1 species